ACAAGCGGUGGAGCAUGUGGUUUAAUUCGAUGAUACGCGAGGAACCUUACCUGGGCUCAAAUGUAUGUUGACGUAUUCUGAAAGGGAUACUUCUUCGGACAAUAUACAAGGUGCUGCAUGGUUGUCGUCAGCUCGUGCCGUGAGGUGUCGGGUUAAGUCCCAUAACGAGCGCAACCCCUAUCUUUAGUUGCCAUCAGUUCGGCUGGGCACUCUAUGGAGACUGCCACCUAAAGUGGAGGAAGGUGGGGAUGACGUCAAGUCAGCAUGGCCCUUACGUCCGGGGCUACACACGUGCUACAAUGGCCGAUACAGAGGGCAGCUACCUGGUGACAGGAUGCAAAUCUCCAAAGUCGGUCUCAGUUCGGAUCGGAGUCUGCAACCCGACUCCGUGAAGUUGGAUUCGCUAGUAAUCGCGCAUCAGCCAUGGCGCGGUGAAUACGUUCCCGGGCCUU
rnacentral:rRNA from 1 species